rnacentral:rRNA from 1 species
GACGAACGCUGGCGGCGUGCCUAAUACAUGCAAGUAGAACGCACAGUUUAUACCGCAGCUUGCUACACCAUAGACUGUGAGUUGCGAACGGGUGAGUAACGCGUAGGUAACCUGCCUGGUAGCGGGGGAUAACUAUUGGAAACGAUAGCUAAUACCGUAUAAUAUUGAUUAUUGCAUGAUAAUUAAUUGAAAGGUGCAAUUGCACCACUACCAGAUGGACCUGCGUUGUAUCAGCUAGUAGGUGAGGUAACGGCUCACCUAGGCGACGAUACAUAGCCGACCUGAGAGGGUGAUCGGCCACACUGGGACUGAGACACGGCCCAGACUCCUACGGGAGGCAGCAGUAGGGAAUCUUCGGCAAUGGACGAAAGUCUGACCGAGCAACGCCGCGUGAGUGAAGAAGGUUUUCGGAUCGUAAAGCUCUGUUGUAAGAGAAGAACGGGUGUGAGAGUGGAAAGUUCACACUGUGACGGUAUCUUACCAGAAAGGGACGGCUAACUACGUG